rnacentral:rRNA from 1 species
UAGGGAAUCUUCGGCAAUGGGGGGAACCCUGACCGAGCAACGCCGCGUGAGUGAAGAAGGUUUUCGGAUCGUAAAGCUCUGUUGUUAAGGAAGAACGAGUGUGAGAAUGGAAAGUUCAUACUGUGACGGUACUUAACCAGAAAGGGACGGCUAACUACGUGCCAGCAGCCGCGGUAAUACGUAGGUCCCGAGCGUUGUCCGGAUUUAUUGGGCGUAAAGCGAGCGCAGGCGGUUAGAUAAGUCUGAAGUGAAAGGCAGUGGCUCAACCAUUGUAGGCUUUGGAAACUGUUUAACGUGAGUGCAGAAGGGGAGAGUGGAAUUCCAUGUGUAGCGGUGAAAUGCGUAGAGAUAUGGAGGAACACCGGUGGCGAAAGCGGCUCUCUGGUCUGUAACUGACGCUGAGGCUCGAAAGCGGGGGGAGCGAACAGG